UCUUUUAUUGUCGAUUCGUUAGAGGGAGCAAAAAUGACUCUGUGGCUAAAGCUGAUCUUCUUACUAGGAAUCCUUGGAGGUGUCCAGUCACAAGCCCAGUUUGUGGAGUCUGGAGGAGAUGUGAGAAGGCCUGGAGAGUCCAUCCGUCUCUCCUGCCAAGCCUCUGGAUUCACCUUCGGUGGCUACUGGUUGCACUGGGUGAGACAGGCCGCAGGGAAAGGACUGGAAUGGGUGUUAUCGAUAAAUCCAACUUCAAGUAGCAUUUUCUACUCAGACAAAGUGAAGGGACGCUUCACCAUCUCCAGAGAUGAUGCCAAAAGCCAGCUGUAUCUGCAAAUGAACAGCCUCAAACCAGAGGACACGGCUGUCUAUUACUGUGCAAGAGGAACACAGUGA